rnacentral:rRNA from 1 species
UAGGGAAUCUUCCGCAAUGGACGAAAGCCUGAUGGAGCAACGCCGCGUGUGUGAUGAAGGGUUUCGGCUCGUAAAGCACUGUUGUAAGAGAAGAAUGACAUUGAGAGUAACUGUUCAAUGUGUGACGGUAUCUUACCAGAAAGGAACGGCUAAAUACGUGCCAC